ensembl:lncRNA
AUAUAUAUAUUUGCUAUAAUAUAAUACCCAAUAAUACCCAAUAAUAAUAUACCCAAAAAGAUUUAGACUGUGGGAACCUGCUAUUUAUUGAUGACUGUUAUGGGAAUAUGAUUAAUGUUAAUUAAUUCCAGGAAAUGUGAUCAAAAAGGAGCACAGAGAUAACCUGAAUAGUGCCAAAAGAGGACACAGACCAACAAAGAAAAAAACUAAUCCAGGUAGGAUUGAUGCACUUCUAAGUCAAUACAAAGGACCUGAACUGAGUGUGAGACUCAAGAAACUGAACUGUUUGGAGAAGGCACCAUGAAGAUGCCUCCAGACCACAAGCUGCACAAGAAGAUCAAGAAUGAAUUUUGGGUGUGUUUGAUUGACCAUUUAUUUGUAUGUAUACUUCCAUAGCAAAGGGGACUGCCCCCUAACUGGUUUUUUGUCAAAGCGUCUAGCAAUUAUUGGUUUUGUUCAUUUUUUUCUCUUAUCCUCAAAUUAUUGUAAUCUUUAAGUUGAUUAUGUUUUCAUGAUCUUUUGGGGGAAACUGCUUUCCCAAUAAUGAUCAAAUGGAGGUAUGUAAAAAUGGAGAUUUGAACCCCAGACUUCAAUCCCCAGAAAUCUUUGGCUAUUCCCAGAAUGCCCUAUAAUCUCACCUGAGUCCUCACCUGAGUGCUAGAUCAGCAUUUGUAUUUUAACUGACUGUACCACUUACUUGGACUCUGCUUCUGCUUCUAAGAACUCGCGUCUCUCAAGAUGUAGAGUAAGGGGCUGUGAAUGGGCUAUUCAGCCCUAAACAAGUGCUUUUCUUAUUUUGUAUUUUCUUAUUUCCUUGAUUUCUAAUAAUCUUUAAUAAACCUCUAAAAAUAUAAUACUUUUAGUAGAGA